AACGAACGCUGGCGGCAUGCCUAACACAUGCAAGUCGAACGAGACCUUCGGGUCUAGUGGCGCACGGGUGCGUAACGCGUGGGAACCUGCCCUUAGGUUCGGAAUAACUCCCCGAAAUGGGUGCUAAUACCGGAUAAUUUCUUCGGACCAAAGAUUUAUCGCCUUUGGAUGGGCCCGCGUUGGAUUAGCUAGUUGGUAGGGUAAAAGCCUACCAAGGCGACGAUCCAUAGCUGGUCUGAGAGGAUGAUCAGCCACACUGGGACUGAGACACGGCCCAGACUCCUACGGGAGGCAGCAGUGGGGAAUAUUGGACAAUGGGCGAAAGCCUGAUCCAGCAAUGCCGCGUGAGUGAUGAAGGCCUUAGGGUUGUAAAGCUCUUUUACCCGGGAUGAUAAUGACAGUACCGGGAGAAUAAGCACCGGCUAACUCCGUG
rnacentral:rRNA from 1 species